UGUGCAUCUCUCCCUAGCUUUGCUGGAUGGACAGGCCGGUGAACGUUCCACAGGAAUGACAGAGGAAGACGCCCCAUUUUUCACCAGGGUGGUGUCCCUGCUGGAAGGGGAUGGCAAUCCCCUGGCAAGCCCAUGUGAUGGCCU